rnacentral:tRNA from 1 species
UUGUAUGUAGCUCAGUGGAACAGCACAUACCUAGCAUGUGUGAAGCACUGGGUUCAAUUCUCAGCAACACA